rnacentral:misc_RNA from 1 species
GUAGUUGGUCACUUAUUUGAUGAUAUGGGCAACUUGCACACAAUCUCUUAAAUCUCUACCAAUACUCAUGCAAUGACUCCCCAAUAUACUGCCUAACACCAUAAAUAUCUUUUUUGAUGUUGGCUGCCCUUAAAGUUGGAAAGUACAUCUCUAAGAAUAAUCGCUUUAUGUCAUUCCUUGUGCUUAUAGAACCAUAAGGUAGGUAGUAGAGCCAAUUUUUAGCUACAUCCCCUAAUGAGAAUGAGAAUGCUCUCAACUUAAUUUUCUCCUCUGUAAUACCAGUAGGUUUCAUGCUUGAAC